rnacentral:rRNA from 1 species
CCUACGGGGGGCAGCAGUGGGGAAUAUUGCACAAUGGGCGAAACCCUGAUGCAGCGACGCCGCGUGAGGGAAGAAGUAAUUCGUUAUGUAAAGCUCUAUCAGCAGGGAAGAAAAUGACGGUACCUGGGGAGGAAGCUCCGGCAAACUACGUGCCAGCAGCCGCGGUAAUACGGAGGGAGCGAGCGUUGUCCGGAAUUACUGGGUGUAAAGGGAGCGGAGGCGGGGAUGCAAGGUGGGUGUAAAAACUACAGGCUCAACUGGGAGUCGCACUCGAAACUGCAGCUCUUGAGUGUAGUAGAGGCAGGCGGAAUGCGUAGUGUAGCGGUGAAAUGCAUAGAUAUUAGGAAGAACACCGAUGGCGAAGGCGGCCUGCUGGGCUUUUACUGACGCUGAGGCUCGAAAGUGUGGGGAGCAAACAGGAUUAGAUACCCGUGUAGUC